rnacentral:rRNA from 1 species
AACGAACGCCGGCGGCAUGCCUAACACAUGCAAGUCGAACGAAGGCUUCGGCCUUAGUGGCGCACGGGUGCGUAACGCGUGGGAAUCUGCCCUUGGGUACGGAAUAACUCCUCGAAAGGGGUGCUAAUACCGUAUGAUGUCGCAAGACCAAAGAUUUAUCGCCCAGGGAUGAGCCCGCGUAGGAUUAGCUAGUUGGUGGGGUAAAGGCUCACCAAGGCGACGAUCCUUAGCUGGUCUGAGAGGAUGAUCAGCCACACUGGGACUGAGACACGGCCCAGACUCCUACGGGAGGCAGCAGUGGGGAAUAUUGGACAAUGGGCGAAAGCCUGAUCCAGCAAUGCCGCGUGAGUGAUGAAGGCCUUAGGGUUGUAAAGCUCUUUUACCCGGGAAGAUAAUGACUGUACCGGGAGAAUAAGCCCCGGCUAACUCCGUGCCAGCCGCCGCCGUAAUAC